rnacentral:rRNA from 1 species
AAGGUUUAAGGAUUGUAAACUCCUUUUGUUAGAGAAGAUAAUGACGGUAUCUAACGAAUAAGCACCGGCUAACUCCGUGCCAGCAGCCGCGGUAAUACGGAGGGUGCAAGCGUUACUCGGAAUCACUGGGCGUAAAGAGCGCGUAGGCGGGAUAGUCAGUCAGGUGUGAAAUCCUAUGGCUUAACCAUAGAACUGCAUUUGAAACUACUAUUCUAGAGUGUGGGAGAGGUAGGUGGAAUUCUUGGUGUAGGGGUAAAAUCCGUAGAGAUCAAGAGGAAUACUCAUUGCGAAGGCGACCUGCUGGAACAUUA